rnacentral:rRNA from 1 species
AACGAACGCUGGCGGCAUGCCUCAUACAUGCAAGUCGAACGAGAAAGUCCCUCGGGAUGAGUAUAGUGGCGCACGGGUGAGUAACACGUAGGUGACCUACCUUCGAGUUGGGAAUAACAUCGGGAAACCGGUGCUAAUACCGAAUGAUCUAAAUCAAUUGAAUAAUGAUUUAGCAAAGAGGGGUAAUUUAUUAUCUCUUGCUUGAAGAAGGGCCUGCGGAACAUUAGCUAGAUGGUGGGGUAAGAGCUUACCAUGGCAACGAUGUUUAGCUGGUCUGAGAGGAUGAUCAGCCACACUGGAACUGAGACACGGUCCAGACUCCUACGGGAGGCAGCAGUAGGGAAUAUUGCGCAAUGGGGGAAACCCUGACGCAGCAAUGCCGCGUGAGUGAGGAAGGUCUUCGGAUUGUAAAGCUCUGUCCUAGGGGAAGAAUGGCAUAGUGGUUAAUACCCAUUAUGAUUGACGGUACCCUAGAAGAAAGCACCGGCUAACUCCGUG